rnacentral:rRNA from 1 species
GCUUGCUUGUUGGGGUUGUAGGACACUCUAUACGGAGUUACAAAGGACGACAUUAGACGAAUCAUCUGGAAAGAUGAAUCAAAGAAGGUAAUAAUCCUGUAGUCGAAAAUGUUGUCUCUCUUGAGUGGAUCCUGAGUACGACGGAGCACGUGAAAUUCCGUCGGAAUCUGGGAGGACCAUCUCCUAAGGCUAAAUACUCUCUAGUGACCGAUAGUGAACCAGUACCGUGAGGGAAAGGUGAAAAGCACCCCGGAAGGGGAGUGAAAUAGAACCUGAAACCGUGUGCUUACAAGUAGUCAGAGCCCGUUAAUGGGUGAUGGCGUGCCUUUUGUAGAAUGAACCGGCGAGUUACGAUUUGAUGCAAGGUUAAGCAGUAAAUGUGGAGCCGUAGCGAAAGCGAGUCUGAAUAGGGCGUUUAGUAUUUGGUCGUAGACCCGAAACCAGGUGAUCUACCCUUGGUCAGGUUGAAGUUCAGGUAACACUGAAUGGAGGACCGAACCGACUUACGUUGAAAAGUGAGCGGAUGAACUGAGGGUAGCGGAGAAAUUCCAAUCGAACCUGGAGAUAGCUGGUUCUCUCCGAAAUAGCUUUAGGGCUAGCCUCAAGUGAUGAUUAUUGGAGGUAGA